rnacentral:misc_RNA from 1 species
UUAAGUUCAGCGGGUAGUCCUACCUGAUUUGAGGUCAAAAUUUCGAAAUAGAUUUGUCCUUUCAGACAGUUAGAAGCAAGUCUAAGCUCAAUCCACGGCAUAGAUAAUUAUCACACCAAUAGACAGAAGCCCAGUUUGAACUUGCUAAUCAAUUUAAGGAGAGCAGGUUCACAAUGUGGUUUUUCUGCACACCCCCAACA